rnacentral:rRNA from 1 species
GACGAACGCUGGCGGCGUGCCUAAUACAUGCAAGUCGAACGCAGUGGGGACGGCGGAGUAAACCGUGGGUAACCUCCCCAUCAGAGGGGAUAACACUUGGAAACAGGUGCUAAACCGAUACUGCUGGAUGGACCCGCGGUUCAUUAGCUAGUUGGGGAGGCAACGGCUCACCAAGUCCACGAUGCAUAGCCGACCGGGGAGGGUGAUCGGCCACACUGGGAAGGAGACACGGCCCAGACUCCUACGGGAGGCAGCAGGAGGGAAUCUUCGGCAAUGGGCGAAAGUCUGACCGAGCAACGCCGCGUGAGUGAAGAAGGUUUUCGGAUCGUAAAACUCUGUUUUUAGAGAAGCGGUAUCUAACCAGAAAGCCACGGCUAACUACGUGCCAGCAGCCGCGGUAAUAC